rnacentral:snoRNA from 1 species
CCCCUCGACGAUGAGGACUUGAUGUCCUACAUCCUUGCCGGCCUAGAUGAAGAUUUUGAACCGGUGGUAUCCUCGUUGGUAGGGAGAGUAGAUCCAGUUCCUUUUGCAGAGAUGUAUUCGCAAUUGUUGAGUUUUGAAU